GAUUAUACCCUGUUACACUUUAUUUAAAUUUUAUUUACCUGGGUAAUAAACAGUUAUUGUCUUGAAACUCAAAGGAUUUGGCGGUAAUUUAGUCUAUUUAGAGGAACCUGUUCUAUAAUCGAUAAACCACGAAAAAUCUUACCUUAUUUUGUAGAUUAACAGUUUGUAUACCGUCAUUAUUAGACAACUUUAAUAAAAAUUAGUUGUUGGGAGAAUUGUUUUAGUAUAUUAGAUCAAGGUGCAGCUAAUAAUAAGGAAGAGAUGGGUUACAAUAUAAUAUAUUUAUACGGAUUGAAAAUUGAAAAAUUUUUAUAAAGGUGGAUUUAAUAGUAAAAAUGGUUUAAUAAGCCUUUUUGAUUUUAGCUCUAUAUUAUGUACAUAUCGGCCCGUCGCUA
rnacentral:rRNA from 1 species